rnacentral:rRNA from 1 species
GAUGAACGCUGGCGGCGUGCCUAAUACAUGCAAGUCGAGCGAACAGACGAGGAGCUUGCUCCUCUGACGUUAGCGGCGGACGGGUGAGUAACACGUGGAUAACCUACCUAUAAGACUGGGAUAACUUCGGGAAACCGGAGCUAAUACCGGAUAAUAUAUUGAACCGCAUGGUUCAAUAGUGAAAGACGGUUUUGCUGUCACUUAUAGAUGGAUCCGCGCCGCAUUAGCUAGUUGGUAAUGUAACGGCUUACCAAGGCGACGAUGCGUAGCCGACCUGAGAGGGUGAUCGGCCACACUGGAACUGAGACACGGUCCAGACUCCUAAGGGAGGCAGCAGUAGGGAAUCUUCCGCAAUGGGCGAAAGCCUGACGGAGCAACGCCGCGUGAGUGAUGAAGGUCUUCGGAUCGUAAAACUCUGUUAUUAGGGAAGAACAAAUGUGUAAGUAACUAUGCACGUCUUGACGGUACCUAAUCAGAAAGCCACGGCUAACUACGUG